rnacentral:tRNA from 1 species
GGAGAGGUGUCCGAGUGGCUUAAGGAGCUCGCUUGGAAAGCGAGUGGGCGAUGAAAGUUGCCUCGUGGGUUCGAAUCCCACCCUCUCCG